rnacentral:lncRNA from 1 species
AUGAUUGACAUGGGGCACAGGGCCGGAGGAAAAACACCACAGACUUACAUGAGGUUUGUAUUGUCUUUAAUUAGAUUCAAAACUCACAGGAAACCCUGCUGCUUAAGAGAGAAAGGAAGGAAAAGACCCCUGAACGGGAGGAGCAAGGUGGUGAAAGCAUAAAGAAAAGCAAACCAUUAACACAAAUAUAAGAAUAAUAGUUACUUCUGGGAAGAAGAAAGGGGAAUCACAGAAGGCUUCUAAGAGACUGAUAAUGUUCAGCAGAAAUACCUUUAUCUAACAAGUGGCUUCAUACAAGGUAUUCAUUUUAAUAUUGUUCUUUGGGCCAUACAUCAUGUCUUAUAGAUCUUUUCUGCAUAUGAUGUCUUUUACAAUAAAAUGUUUAAUAUGACUGUUUAAUUAGACACAUUAAAAGCAUUUGAUUUUUAAAAAAUACUUUUAGCAAGCUAUAGAAGAAAUCUUCCUUUGAAUGAUGGCUAUUGAGUAGAAACCUACAGCAAGCAUCACACCUAAGAGCAGAGCAUGAAAAGCAUCCCUACGAGGGUCAAGAAAAGUGCAAGGAUGAACUGUUGUUGCUAGUCUUCAUCCUAGAUGGUAGGCAUAUAUUUCUAACGAAUUUGAAUACAUUUAUGUAUUAUGUACUAAUGAGUAGUUGGUACUUACUACAUUUAUCAUAUUCACAUAAGGUAGACUGACAUUCUUGUCACGAUGUAACUUUGUCUUAUUCUCAGAAACAAUUAUACAUUUGUAGUCCUGACUUCCUUUAAUAAUGAAUUAAUUAAUCCCAGCACUUUGGGAGGCCAAGGCAGAUGGAUUACCUGAGGUCAGGAGUUCAAGACUAGGCUGGCCUACAUAGUGAAACCCCAUCUCUACUAAAAAUACAAAAAUCACCUGGGCGUCAUGGUGAGCACCUGUAAUCCCAGCUGCUCAGGAGGCUAAGGCAGGAGAAUUCCUUCAACCUGGGAGACCAAGGUUGCAGUGAGCCGAAAUUGCACCACUGCACUCCAGCCUUGGUAAGAGAGCUUGACUCCAACUCAAAAAUAAUAAUAAUGAUGAAUUAAUUUUCCCAACAAUAUUAAUUGUUUCCAACUAAACUUGUGUGGAAUUGUAAUUCUAUUUCUCUCCUUCUUUUGAUCAUGGGUCAUUUUUUAGACAGUCACAUCUCCAGAAGAUAGAACAAUGAGGCAAUCUGGUCUAGUGAAAAGUCUGUAG